rnacentral:rRNA from 1 species
UACGUAGGUGGCAAGCGUUGUCCGGAAUCACUGGGCGUAAAGCGCGCGCAGGCGGCGAUCUACGUCUGGGGUGAAAGCCCGGAGCUCAACUCCGGGACUGCCUUGGAUACGGGAUCGCUUGAGGAUUGGAGAGGCAAGGGGAAUUCCACGUGUAGCGGUGAAAUGCGUAGAUAUUCGGAAGAACACCAGUGGCGAAGGCGACUCGCUGGACAAGUAUUGACGCUGAGGUGCGAAAGCGUGGGGAGCAAACAGG